rnacentral:rRNA from 1 species
GACGAACGCUGGCGGCGUGCUUAACACAUGCAAGUCGAACGGUAAGGCCCUUUCGGGGGUACACGAGUGGCGAACGGGUGAGUAACACGUGGGUGAUCAGCCCUGCACUUUGGGAUAAGCCUGGGAAACUGGGUCUAAUACCGGAUAGGACUACGCGAUGCAUGUCGUGUGGUGGAAAGCUUUUGCGGUGUGGGAUGGGCCCGCGGCCUAUCAGCUUGUUGGUGGGGUGAUGGCCUACCAAGGCGACGACGGGUAGCCGGCCUGAGAGGGUGUCCGGCCACACUGGGACUGAGAUACGGCCCAGACUCCUACGGGAGGCAGCAGUGGGGAAUAUUGCACAAUGGGCGCAAGCCUGAUGCAGCGACGCCGCGUGGGGGAUGACGGCCUUCGGGUUGUAAACCCCUUUCAGCACAGACGAAGCGUAAGUGACGGUAUGUGCAGAAGAAGCACCGGCCAACUACGUG